AGCGAACGCUGGCAGCAGGCCUAACACAUGCCAGUCGAACGAACUCUUCGGAGUUAGUGGCGGACGGGUGAGUAACACGUGGGAACGUGCCUUUUGGUUCGGAAUAACUCAGGGAAACUUGUGCUAAUACCGAAUGUGCCCUUCGGGGGAAAGAUUUAUCGCCAUUAGAGCGGCCCGCGUCUGAUUAGCUAGUUGGUGAGGUAACGGCUCACCAAGGCGACGAUCAGUAGCUGGUCUGAGAGGAUGACCAGCCACACUGGGACUGAGACACGGCCCAGACUCCUACGGGAGGCAGCAGUGGGGAAUCUUGCGCAAUGGGCGAAAGCCUGACGCAGCCAUGCCGCGUGAAUGAUGAAGGUCUUAGGAUUGUAAAAUUCUUUCACCGGGGACGAUAAUGACGGUACCCGGAGAAGAAGCCCCGGCUAACUUCGUG
rnacentral:rRNA from 1 species